UGGGGAAUAUUGGACAAUGGGCGCAAGCCUGAUCCAGCCAUGCCGCGUGAGUGAUGAAGGCCUUAGGGUUGUAAAGCUCUUUCGCCAGGGACGAUAAUGACGGUACCUGGAUAAGAAGCCCCGGCUAACUUCGUGCCAGCAGCCGCGGUAAUACGAAGGGGGCUAGCGUUGUUCGGAAUCACUGGGCGUAAAGCGCAUGCAGGCGGACUGAUAAGUCAGGGGUGAAAGCCCGAGGCUCAACCUCGGAACUGCCUUUGAUACUGUCAGUCUUGAGUCCGGGAGAGGUGAGUGGAACUGCGAGUGUAGAGGUGAAAUUCGUAGACAUUCGCAAGAACACCAGUGGCGAAGGCGGCUCACUGGCCCGGGACUGACGCUGAGAUGCGAAAGCGUGGGGAGCAAACA
rnacentral:rRNA from 1 species